UACGUAGGGCGCAAGCGUUGUCCGGAAUUAUUGGGCGUAAAGAGCUCGUAGGCGGCCUGCUGCGUCCGCUGUGAAAUCCUGGGGCUUAACCCCGGGUCGGCAGUGGAUACGGGCAGGCUAGAGGUAGGUAGGGGAGAAUGGAAUUCCCGGUGUAGCGGUGAAAUGCGCAGAUAUCGGGAGGAACACCGGUGGCGAAGGCGGUUCUCUGGGCCUUACCUGACGCUGAGGAGCGAAAGCGUGGGGAGCGAACAGG
rnacentral:rRNA from 1 species